rnacentral:rRNA from 1 species
AACCUAGAUGUACCUUUACACACACAUCCGCCCGGGUACUACGAGCACAGCUUAAAACCCAAAGGACUUGGCGGUGUCUCAGACCCACCUAGAGGAGCCUGUUCUAGAACCGAUAACCCCCGUUAAACCUCACCACUUCUUGUUUUCCCCGCCUAUAUACCGCCGUCGUCAGCUUACCCUGUGAAGGUCCAACAGUAAGCAAAAUGGGCUAGCCCAAAAACGUCAGGUCGAGGUGUAGCGCACGAAGUGGGAAGAAAUGGGCUACAUUUUCUACAAUAGAAUAUUACGAAUGGCACCCUGAAACAAGUGCCUGAAGGUGGAUUUAGUAGUAAAAAGCAAAUAGAGUGUACUUUUGAAUUAGGCUCUGAGACGCGCACACACCGCCCGUCACUCUCCCCUCAUAUAUUAAACUUAAACCCAACAUUCCUAAUUAAAUAUUUACCAAUACGGGGAGGCAAGUCGUAACAUGGUAAGUGUACCGGAAGGUGCACUUGGAAUAACCA